UACGGAGGGUGCAAGCGUUAAUCGGAAUUACUGGGCGUAAAGCGUGCGUAGGCGGUUCGUUAAGUCUGUUGUGAAAGCCCCGGGCUCAACCUGGGAAUGGCAAUGGAUACUGGCGAGCUAGAGUGUGUCAGAGGAUGGUGGGAAUUCCCGGUGUAGCGGUGAAAUGCGUAGAGAUCGGGAGGAACUCAGUGGCGAAGGCGGCCAUCUGGGACAACACUGACGCUGAGGCACGAAAGCGUGGGGAGCAAACAGG
rnacentral:rRNA from 1 species